GACAGGAUUCACAAACAUUCAAUUUAUGCUUAAAUGUACAUGCGAUACAUUAUGCAUAUGAAUUUAGUUCACGAUAGUAUCGCAUGUGGAAGUAACUAGAAUAAAUUUGGACUAUUUCCUUCGGAUGUUUACAUGACUGUGUUGUCAAAAGGCCUCCCAUGUGUUUACAUAUUUUGACAGUCGAGUUGCUCUGGCAGGAACGACGGUAAGUGUAAGUUUAUAAAUUAAUUAUUUUGCAACGAGUUCAAAACAAGGUUGAUAAUCAGUCGUCUGUAUUUCAAGACCUGAAAACGAUUUGCCCAGUCUUUUAAACGUAUGUUCUGGCUGGAGAACAUAUAUAGCAUGUGCAUGCAUGUAUUACUGUCACCAGAGGUUAUCAUUAGAUGCAGAAUUAACGCGUUGUUUCAUACUCACAGAUAGUAAAUCGAUCAGAAUGGGUCAUUGUUAUAGCAAAUAAAACGUUUAUGCACUUUUUGCAUUCAAAUUGACAUAAUUUGAAACUUAGAAAGAAGACGGCCAGAAACCCUCUGCAUAAAUUAAUACAUGUAUGAUUGGACGUGAGGCUGAAUCAUCCGGUUAGCUAGACGUUAAAUUACCGUGCAUUUUAUUCGUCUUGUGUUUGUUUCAGAUGAAUGCCUGCACCAUGGAAAUAUUGUAGAUCUAAUUUGUAAACUGUCGUGAAACCUGUGUUCGGCUCGCACAUUUCCUAUUUAACAGGAAUGCAUGAUGGAGACCAACAGUACAGAAAGAUGAAGAUGUAAAUUGAUCCAAAGAAACAAUGGGACAAUGAAUGCUAUAAUUACCAAGAAGAAGACUGCAUUUUUAUACAGUUACAGUGUGAUAUGGUGAAUAAAAACCCUCAAUGAAUGCAGCCUUAUGGAGCUUUGGCUAGACCAUGAACAGCAGACAUCAAAAAGAUGCUCAUCUUAAGGGCCACAAGUGUUUGCAGCAUUGGUCAACAACAAAAAAAACCUGAACUAUUUGAUGGAUCAUACAGAAUGUACACUCAUAUUUCCAGAAUCAGAGAAAUAUAAAUA
rnacentral:lncRNA from 1 species